AUCUACCUAGUAGUAUAGGAUAGCCACUAGAAAUGGUGGGUAAUACUGUAUAAUCCCUGCGGGGGAAAGAUUUAUCGCUACAUGAUGAGCCUAUGUUAGAUUAGCUAGUUGGUGGGGUAAUGGCCUACCAAGGCAGUGAUCUAUAGCUGGUCUGAGAGGAUGAUCAGCCACACUGGAACUGAGACACGGUCCAGACUCCUACGGGAGGCAGCAGUGGGGAAUAUUGGACAAUGGGCGCAAGCCUGAUCCAGCUAUGCCGCGUGAGUGAGGAAGGCCUUAGGGUUGUAAAACUCUUUCAGUGGGGAAGAUAAUGACGGUACCCACAGAAGAAGUCCCGGCAAACUCCGUGCCAGCAGCCGCGGUAAUAUGGAGGGGGCAAGCGUUGUUCGGAAUUAUUGGGCGUAAAGGGCAUGUAGGUGGUUUGGUAAGUUAAAGGUGAAAUGCCAGGGCUUAACCCUGGAGCUGCUUUUAAUACUGCCAGACUGGAGUCCGGGAGACAGACUGGAGUCCGGGAGAA
rnacentral:rRNA from 1 species